rnacentral:rRNA from 1 species
UGGCGGACGGGUGAGUAACGCGUGGGUAACCUGCCUUGUACUGGGGGAUAACAGUUAGAAAUGACUGCUAAUACCGCAUAAGCGCACAGUAUCGCAUGAUACAGUGUGAAAAACUCCGGUGGUACAAGAUGGACCCGCGUCUGAUUAGCUAGUUGGUAAGGUAACGGCUUACCAAGGCGACGAUCAGUAGCCGACCUGAGAGGGUGACCGGCCACAUUGGGACUGAGACACGGCCCAAACUCCUACGGGAGGCAGCAUG